rnacentral:piRNA from 1 species
CGGUGGAGGAGGGAGACGGGUGUG